rnacentral:tRNA from 1 species
GGGGCGUUAGCGCAGUGGCAGCGCAUUGGUCUUCGAAUCCAAGGGUCACAGGUUCAAUCCCUGUACGUCUCG